rnacentral:rRNA from 1 species
GAUGAACGCUGGCGGCGUGCCUAAUACAUGCAAGUCGAGCGAAUGGAUUAAGAGCUUGCUCUUAUGAAGUUAGCGGCGGACGGGUGAGUAACACGUGGGUAACCUGCCCAUAAGACUGGGAUAACUCCGGGAAACCGGGGCUAAUACCGGAUAAUAUUUUGAACUGCAUGGUUCAAAAUUGAAAGGCGGCUUCGGCUGUCACUUAUGGAUGGACCCGCGUCGCAUUAGCUAGGUGGUGAGGUAACGGCUCACCAAGGCAGCGAUGCGUAGCCGACCUGAGAGGGUGAUCGGCCACACUGGGACUGAGACACGGCCCAGACUCCUACGGGAGGCAGCAGUAGGGAAUCUUCCGCAAUGGACGAAAGUCUGACGGAGCAACGCCGCGCGAGUGAUGAAGGCUUUCGGGUCGUAAAACUCUGUUGUUAGGGAAGAACAAGUGCUAGUUGAAUAAGCUGGCACCUUGACGGUACCUAACCAGAAAGCCACGGCUAACUACGUGCCAGCCGCCGCCGUAA